UGAGUUUGAUCUUGGCUCAGAUUGAACGCUGGCGGCAUGCCUUACACAUGCAAGUCGAACGGCAGCACGGGUGCUUGCACCUGGUGGCGAGUGGCGAACGGGUGAGUAAUACAUCGGAACAUGUCCUGUAGUGGGGGAUAGCCCGGCGAAAGCCGGAUUAAUACCGCAUACGAUCUACGGAUGAAAGCGGGGGACCUUCGGGCCUCGCGCUAUAGGGUUGGCCGAUGGCUGAUUAGCUAGUUGGUGGGGUAAAGGCCUACCAAGGCGACGAUCAGUAGCUGGUCUGAGAGGGCGACCAGCCACACUGGGACUGAGACACGGCCCAGACUCCUACGGGAGGCAGCAGUGGGGAAUUUUGGACAAUGGGCGAAAGCCUGAUCCAGCAAUGCCGCGUGUGUGAAGAAGGCCUUCGGGUUGUAAAGCACUUUUGUCCGGAAAGAAAUCCUUGGCUCUAAUACAGUCGGGGGAUGACGGUACCGGAAGAAUAAGCACCGGCUAACUACGUGCCAGCAGCCGCGGUAAUACGUAGGGUGCGAGCGUUAAUCGGAAUUACUGGGCGUAAAGCGUGCGCAGGCGGUUUGCUAAGACCGAUGUGAAAUCCCCGGGCUCAACCUGGGAACUGCAUUGGUGACUGGCAGGCUAGAGUAUGGCAGAGGGGGGUAGAAUUCCACGUGUAGCAGUGAAAUGCGUAGAGAUGUGGAGGAAUACCGAUGGCGAAGGCAGCCCCCUGGGCCAAUACUGACGCUCAUGCACGAAAGCGUGGGAAGCAAACAGGAUUAGAUACCCUGGUAGUCCACGCCCUAAACGAUGUCAACUAGUUGUUGGGGAUUCAUUUCCUUAGUAACGUAGCUAACGCGUGAAGUUGACCGCCUGGGGAGUACGGUCGCAAGAUUAAAACUCAAAGGAAUUGACGGGGACCCGCACAAGCGGUGGAUGAUGUGGAUUAAUUCGAUGCAACGCGAAAAACCUUACCUACCCUUGACAUGGUCGGAAUCCCGCUGAGAGGUGGGAGUGCUCGAAAGAGAACCGGCGCACAGGUGCUGCAUGGCUGUCGUCAGCUCGUGUCGUGAGAUGUUGGGUUAGGUCCCGCAACGAGCGCAACCCUUGUCCUUAGUUGCUACGCAAGAGCACUCUAAGGAGACUGCCGGUGACAAACCGGAGGAAGGUGGGGAUGACGUCAAGUCCUCAUGGCCCUUAUGGGUAGGGCUUCACACGUCAUACAAUGGUCGGAACAGAGGGUUGCCAACCCGCGAGGGGGAGCUAAUCCCAGAAAACCGAUCGUAGUCCGGAUUGCACUCUGCAACUCGAGUGCAUGAAGCUGGAAUCGCUAGUAAUCGCGGAUCAGCAUGCCGCGGUGAAUACGUUCCCGGGUCUUGUACACACCGCCCGUCACACCAUGGGAGUGGGUUUUACCAGAAGUGGCUAGUCUAACCGCAAGGAGGACGGUCACCACGGUAGGAUUCAUGACUGGGGUGAAGUCGUAACAAGGUA
rnacentral:rRNA from 1 species